rnacentral:rRNA from 1 species
UGGGGAAUAUUGGACAAUGGGCGCAAGCCUGAUCCAGCCAUGCCGCGUGAGUGAUGAAGGCCCUAGGGUUGUAAAGCUCUUUUGUGCGGGAAGAUAAUGACUGUACCGCAAGAAUAAGCCCCGGCUAACUUCGUGCCAGCAGCCGCGGUAAUACGAAGGGGGCUAGCGUUGCUCGGAAUCACUGGGCGUAAAGGGUGCGUAGGCGGGUCUUUAAGUCAGGGGUGAAAUCCUGGAGCUCAACUCCAGAACUGCCUUUGAUACUGAAGAUCUUGAGUUCGGGAGAGGUGAGUGGAACUGCGAGUGUAGAGGUGAAAUUCGUAGAUAUUCGCAAGAACACCCGUGGCGAAGGCGGCUCACUGGCCCGAUACUGACGCUGAGGCACGAAAGCGUGGGGAGCAAACA